UGGGGAAUUUUGGACAAUGGGGGAAACCCUGAUCCAGCCAUGCCGCGUGUGUGAAGAAGGCCUUCGGGUUGUAAAGCACUUUUGUUCGGAACGAAACGGUGGAUGCCAAUAACAUCCGCUAAUGACGGUACCGGAAGAAUAAGCACCGGCUAACUACGUUCCAGCAGCCGCGGUAAUACGUAGGGUGCAAGCGGUAAUCGGAAUUACUGGGCGUAAAGCGUGCGCAGGCGGCUUCGCAAGUCAGAUGUGAAAUCCCCGGGCUCAACCUGGGAACUGCAUUUGAAACUACGGAGCUAGAGUGUGUCAGAGGGGGGUAGAAUUCCACGUGUAGCAGUGAAAUGCGUAGAGAUGUGGAGGAAUACCGAUGGCGAAGGCAGCCCCCUGGGAUAACACUGACGCUCAUGCACGAAAGCGUGGGGAGCAAA
rnacentral:rRNA from 1 species